rnacentral:rRNA from 1 species
UGGGGAAUAUUGGACAAUGGGCGCAAGCCUGAUCCAGCCAUGCCGCGUGAGUGAUGAAGGCCCUAGGGUUGUAAAGCUCUUUCACCGGUGAAGAUAAUGACGGUAACCGGAGAAGAAGCCCCGGCUAACUGCGUGCCAGCAGCCGCGGUAAUACGAAGGGGGCUAGCGUUGUUCGGAUUUACUGGGCGUAAAGCGCACGUAGGCGGACUAUUAAGUCAGGGGUGAAAUCCCGGGGCUCAACCCCGGAACUGCCUUUGAUACUGGUAGUCUUUAGUUCGAGAGAGGUGAGUGGAAUUCCGAGUGUAGAGGUGAAAUUCGUAGAUAUUCGGAGGAACACCAGUGGCGAAGGCGGCUCACUGGCUCGAUACUGACGCUGAGGUGCGAAAGCGUGGGGAGCAAACAGG